UGAACUUACAAAGUGAUAAAACUGAUUCCUUUUAUGAUAAAGGGAGAAAAAAAACACGUUGGAUACUGGGGAGCAGGAUAAAAUGAGUAUUAUUGGGGUUUCCCAAUCAGAACACAAACCAAUUCUGUCAUAUUAUGGAUGUGAGAAAUUACCCAGAGUAAAAUCAGGAACCUUACAGAGGGAAUAAUAAAUGGCCAAUAAAUGUGCUGUGAUCAUUGGAAUUGUCAUAAAUCCAGGUGUUUUCACGCAGUCUCAUGUAAACCUGGUCUCCAACUUCAAGCUGCAGAGUCAUCCCAUUGGUUGCUGUCUCAAAACGAUUUCCAAAAGGAUGGUUGUAGACAGUGACCAUCUGCUCU